GGCGACUCGUUUUUUUUCCUUGUUUGCAUUCGUCCGACGCCGGAGGAUGAAACGAAUCGACGCGGAGAUGUGGCCUAACUCAGUAAAGGCGAAGAUUCCUUGACGAACACCCUGAGAUUCAAGUAGGAUCAUCCAAUCCGGAGGUGAUGAGCUUCCUGACGCAUCAACACUGCUGAGCUGCGGCAGGUAGUAAAAAUGAUCUGCUGCCACCUGGUGGACAAAUGGUAAUUUUCACAUUAAAAGCCGAGGGACCCCCUUCCCCCCGGGAUGACUUUUCUGAGUGCUACUGUUUCUGCUGACGAAAGCUAGGAUCCAGCCUUGGCACAGUGC